GACAGAGGGGGCUAGCGUUGUUCGGAAUUACUGGGCGUAAAGCGCGCGCAGGCGGCUAUCCAAGUCAGUGGUGAAAGCCCGGAGCUCAACUCCGGAACUGCCAUUGAAACUGUUUAGCUUGAGGACGAGAGAGGUGAGUGGAAUUCCCAGUGUAGAGGUGAAAUUCGUAGAUAUUGGGAAGAACACCGGUGGCGAAGGCGGCUCACUGGCUCGUAUCUGACGCUCAGGCGCGACAGCGUGGGGAUCAAACAGG
rnacentral:rRNA from 1 species